GGGGCCAUAGCUCAGCUGGCAGAGCACUCGGUUUGCAUCCGAGAGGUCGCCGGUUCGAUCCCGGCUGGCUCCA
rnacentral:tRNA from 1 species